AACUUGGUAGUUAAAUUUAUAACAACAGGUUGCAAACCUGUAGUAGCAGUUAUUUGCCUAAGUUU
rnacentral:tRNA from 1 species